rnacentral:rRNA from 3 species
UACCGCGGUUAUACGAGAGGCCCAAGUUGAUAGACGCCGGCGUAAAGCGUGGUUAAGAUGAAGAAACACUAAAGCCGAACGCCCUCAGAGCUGUUAUACGCAUCCGAAGGUAAGAAGCCCAAUUACGAAAGUAGCUUUAUUUUUCUGACUCCACGAAAGCCAAGGCA